rnacentral:lncRNA from 1 species
CUUUCUUCCUGCCCCUCAGCCACCAGGGCAGGCUGUCCCUCCACCCAGUCUGUUAGCUUUGCCUAUUCUAAAACCGAGGCAGAAACAGAAUCCUAUAUAGCCCCACGAUUUUACUUUAUUUCAAGGUGAUGCGUUGAAGAGCCAUCUAGGAUAAAACUUGUAUCUGUUGCUUUCUUUUCCUUAUUACAGUGAAGACCCAAAGAUCUUCAACCAAGCUGGGCAAGUGUUCAACCAUUGAGCUACACCCCCGACCCUCCCUUCCGUUUGGCUGCAACAAUAAACCAGUUGUGUCUAGGAGAUCCAACGCCGGUCAAGCCGCUCUACCCACUGAGCCAUCUGGCUGCCUGUCAAGAAGACAAACUUCUGUUGCGCAGUGCUCAGGCACCUGUGAAGACAGGAACUUGGGGAUGAAUGAGGAGAGAGCCUAGAGAGAAAGGGCCCUCGUCUGGCGCACAGAGUCCCUGAACAGAUUUGGACUGGCUUAGCAUGACCAGCAGUCUCAGCCAUAGACGCGUUCUCUCUCUCUCUCUCUCUCUCUCUCUCUCUCUCUCUCUCUCCUGCCUGUCCAGAAAUAGUUUCCGGGAACCGAGGUGCUUCCCCGCCAGCCAGCGGGGAGAUAAAGCUGCCCGUGUGUGUCGCUUGUCUUGGCUGCCUCUCAGUUGACACCUCUGACAGGCCGCUUUGAUCUCGGGUUAUCAAGGCCUAACCCCGAGCCUGGCCUGCUCUGCCAGCCCUCACUCACUGGGGAAAAGGGCAUUUCAGAAGGUCAGUUCGGGGAGGGGCAGGCUUCUCCUCAUGCCCAGCUGGCCUUGAAGCAUGGGUGCUGGAUGUAGGAAUUGUACCCAGUUUUACUCUGCAGCGGUGAUGGAUGGGGGGGCUGGAGGGAGAUGGGGGCAGGGUCUUGGCUGAGAAAUGAAGCAUUCAAGUGGUGCCUACAGCA